rnacentral:tRNA from 1 species
GAGCGUAUAGCUCAGUGGUGGAGUGAGCUGCUUGGCAUGCAUGAGGUCCUGGGUUCAAUCCUCAGUACCUCCA